UGCUGCUACUCUCUAUUUAUUAUCUAUGCAUAGUCACUUUACCCCUACCUACAUGUACAAAUGACCUCUAACCUCGCACACUGACUCAGUACCGGUAGCCCCUGUAUAUAACCUCGUUAUUGUUAAGUAAUUAUGUGACUUUUUACUUUAGUUAAUUUGGUAAAUAUUUUCUUAACUCUUCUUGAACUGCACUGUUGGUUAAGGGCUUGUAAAGUAAGCAUUUCACGGUAAGGUCUACACUUGUUGUAUUCAGCAUUUCACUGUGAGGUCUACUACACCUGUUGUAUUCAGCAUUUCACUGUAAGGUCUACCUACACCUGUUGUAUUCAGAAUUUCACUGUAAGGUCUACCUACACCUGUUGUAUUCAGCAUUUCACUGUAAGGUCUACCUACACCUGUUGUAUUCAGAAUUUCACUGUAAGGUCUACCUACACCUGUUGUAUUCAGCAUUUCACUGUGAGGUCUACUACACCUGUUGUAUUCAGCAUUUCACUGUGAGGUCUACUACACUUGUUGUAUUAAGCAUUUCACUGUGAGGUCUACUACACCUGUUGUAUUCAGCAUUUCACUGUAAGGUCUACACUUGUUGUAUUCAGCAUUUCACUGUGAGGUCUACUACACCUGUUGUAUUCAGCAUUUCACUGUGAGGUCUACUACACCUGUUGUAUUCAGCAUUUCACUGUGAGGUCUACUACACCUGUUGUAUUCAGCAUUUCACUGUGAGGUCUACUACACCUGUUGUAUUCAGCAUUUCACUGUAAGGUCGACCUACACCUGUUGUAUUCAGCAUUUCACUGUAAGGUCUACUACACCUGUUGUAUUCAGCAUUUCACUGUAAGGUCUACUACACCUGUUGUAUUCAGCAUUUCACUGUAAGGUCUACUACACCUGUUGUAUUCAGCAUUUCACUGUGAGGUCUACCUACACCUGUUGUAUUCAGCAUUUCACUGUAAGGUCUACUACACCUGUUGCAUUCAGCAUUUCACUGUGAGGUCGACCUACACCUGUUGUAUUCAGCAUUUCACUGUGAGGUCUACCUACACCUGUUGUAUUCAGCAUUUCACUGUGAGGUCUACCUACACCUGUUGUAUUCAGCAUUUCACUGUGAGGUCGACCUACACCUGUUGUAUUAAGCAUUUCACUGUAAGGUCGACCUACACCUGUUGUAUUCAGCAUUUCACUGUAAGGUCUACUACACCUGUUGUAUUCAGCAUUUCACUGUAAGGUCUACUACACCUGUUGUAUUCAGCAUUUCACUGUCAGGUCUACUACACCUGUUGUAUUCAGCAUUUCACUGUCAGGUCUACUACACCUGUUGUAUUCAGCAUUUCACUGUAAGGUCUACUACACCUGUUGCAUUCAGCAUUUCACUGUGAGGUCUACCUACACCUGUUGUAUUCAGCAUUUCACUGUAAGGUCUACUACACCUGUUGCAUUCAGCAUUUCACUGUGAGGUCGACCUACACCUGUUGUAUUCAGCAUUUCACUGUGAGGUCUACCUACACCUGUUGUAUUCAGCAUUUCACUGUGAGGUCUACCUACACCUGUUUUAUUAAGCAUUUCACUGUGAGGUCGACCUACACCUGUUGUAUUCAGCAUUUCACUGUGAGGUCUACUACACCUGUUGUAUUCAGCAUUUCACUGUAAGGUCGACCUACACCUGUUGUAUUCAGCAUUUCACUGUGAGGUCUACCUACACCUGUUGUAUUCAGCAUUGGGCCUGUAAGUAAGCAUUUCCCUGUGCAGAUUGAAGGGGGUGGAUUCAUGCAAUGCAUUCUGGUAGGUACUGCCUCGCAGGACAGUGUCUUCCGCGAGCGUUGUUGAAAGAGACGUUAUGACCAGAAAAAUAUCAUAUGACUGAAAUGUAUUUUUAUUGACAAAAUAUAGUAGAUGCAUCUUUAAUCAGAAUUUAAAAAAAAAAACGCUAUUCAAAGUGCUCUUCUCACACAGCAUGGCCCCAUUACUUCAGGUCCUUGAAGGACCUCUUCUGACUGAUGUCCCCUCUACGCCUGAUGUUUCUCAGCCAUAUCUUCCUCCUGAAUAAUUGCAAAAAGAGUAGAAGAGGCCUGAGCAGCUUCUACCCUCUCCAGGAGUAGAAGUGACCUGAGCAGCAUCUACCCUCUCCAGGAGUAGAAGAGGCCUGAGCAGUUUCUACCCUCUCCAGGAGUAGAAGAGGCCUGAGCAGUUUCUACCCUCUCCAGGAGUAGAAGAGGCCUGAGCAGUUUCUACCCUCUCCAGGAGUAGAAGAGGCCUGAGCAGUUUCUACCCUCUCCAGGAGUAGAAGAGGCCUGAGCAGUUUCUGGGAAUCUACAACACCAGUUGUUUUUUAAUGUCUUCUCUGGGACUCCAGGCCAUUGUGUGUGUGUGUGUGUGUGUGGGUAUAUAGGCCAGUGUUCUGUUUAAAUGUGAGGGUUGUGUUAUCCAUCGUCGUUCUCUUAUACAUCUACACUGACGUUUUAAAUAGUUCUUUAGAUGCUCGUGAGUCUGAAGACACCUCCUGUCACCUGAACCUCCUGCAGACCAUCUGAACUACAUUAGGCAUCAUCUGCUGGAUGUUGGGUCUAUGCUUAAGGUCUCCUGUUCUCUUUCUCUCCUCUAGUUUCUGCUAGAUGUUGGGUCUAUGCUUAAGGUCUCCUGUUCUCUUUCUCUCCUCUAGUUUCUGCUGGAUGUUGGGUCUAUGCUUAAGGUCUCCUGUUCUCUUUCUCUCCUCUAGUUUCUGCUGGAUGUUGGGUCUAUGCUUAAGGUCUCCUGUUCUCUUUCUCUCCUCUAGUUUCUGCUGGAUGUUGGGUCUAUGCUUAAGGCCUCCUGUUCUCUUUCUCUCCUCUAGUUUCUGCUGGAUGUUGGGUCUAUGCUUAAGGUCUCCUGUUCUCUUUCUCUCCUCUAGUUUCUGCUGGAUGUUGGGUCUAUGCUUAAGGUCUCCUGUUCUCUUUCUCUCCUCUAGUUUCUGCUGGAUGUUGGGUCUAUGCUUAAGGUCUCCUGUUCUCUUUCUCUCCUCUAGUUUCUGCUGGAUGUUGGGUCUAUGCUUAAUAGUUAAUUUAGUAGUGUCAUGGUUGUUAUAACAUCUGUGGUAGUAUAGUGUAGUUUGUAGAUACUAGUUUAUAGUUUAUGUCCUCUAUCUCUGUUAUUCACCCUGAUUUGUUUUUAAUAGUACUCUACGGUUCAUUCAGACGGCAGCCAUUUUGUUGUUUUUCUCUCUCCGUAUGCGUGAGAGGAACGUGAUGUAGAAGUCAGAAGAAAAGCAGCCUUUGUUGCUACUCCUCUAACAUCGUCACUGACCGUGUCCUGCUAUAGUUAUUAGUUUAUAUGGACUCCAUCCCUGGAGACGUCUGGGGGUUUCUAACAGACGUUCAAAUGUAUGUAAUAAAUCAUGAGAAGAUGUCA